rnacentral:misc_RNA from 1 species
UGUACCUGAAGAUGAUGAAGAGAAUUUUGGAGAGCAUGUAGGUGCUCCAGAAGAACGUUUUGAAACUGCUGUUGAAACUGCACGCCGGGAGCGUGAAGAAAGACGUAAGCGUUUGAGAAAUGAGCGUUCAGACGACAGACCUGUGCAUGUGCCUAGGCAGCCAGUGCAUGAACAAUACUAUCCAACCAAACACUUUAAAACUUAUGAUAAAACUAAGCUACCUCCUGGCUGGUUGGAU